ensembl:snRNA U4 U4 spliceosomal RNA
AGCUUUGCUCAGUGGCAAUACUGUAGCCAAUCAGGUUUAUCCCAGGUGCAAUUAUUGCUAAUUGAAAACUUUUCCCAAUACUCCACCAUGAUGACUUGAAAUACAAUCAGCAUUGGCAAUUUUUGACAGUCUCUAUGGAGA